UAAUGUAGUCUGCGAUAAUGCAGGGAUGGAUUAUAGACUAAAAGGAAUUCCUAAUUGUUGUUUCACCAAUCACCCCUAGUUUUGUCCUAAACUUUCCCUCUAGCAACAGCUCGGCUUUGUGGAAGGAGGAGGUGGGGACAGGCAGAGAUUAGUUUCUGCUGCCCAGGCUAAUCCAUCCCAGCUGCCCAAAGAUCUGGGUCAGGCCCUCCUUCCCAUCCUCAGGUUUGGCAUUGCCACUAACCAGGAUGCAGCCAGAAAACCACAGGAGCUGAGUCCCCAUGUCUUCUCUGAACCCGAGGCUGCUCCUUCGUCUUUGUUCUGAUCCUUAGCCAUGCAGUCCAUCCAUGAACACAACAGUUUUGGAGUCAGACAGCCGCGGGUUGAGUCCAAGUCCUGCUAUAUCAGAUGCUUCGAGUGAAGUUUCUCCUCUUGCUGCCCUCCUGAGUGCUUUCCUCCUCCUUCCGAAGCAGCAGAGGCCUCCAUCUAGCCUCUGGGGCAUCACUCAGAGAAGAAACAAGGGCACCAUGGGGACCUGGUGUCAUUAUCCACAUUUCCAGCUGCUUAUCAACAGUCCCUGGCCUUGGGCACUGACCAGUGGGAAUCCCAAGCCACAAUCCCAUUGACCUCAUCCUGACACUGUGAUGCCACAUCUCUUCCUCUUUGAAUCUCACUCUAAAGGUGCAAAGAGUCUCCAAUUAAGAGCAAAGUCCAUCCACCAUGUAAAA